AUCGCUUCUCGGCCUUUUGGCUAAGAUCAAGUGUAGUAUCAAAAUAGAGCAACAUUUUAAGGAACAGAAUCUAAGUAUCAUGGUGAUUUCAGUAGGUUCCCAAUAGGAUUCAUAUGUAAUAAGCUUGUUAUUCAAGAUAGAGCAACGUUUUAACGAAC
ensembl:snRNA U2 U2 spliceosomal RNA